rnacentral:rRNA from 1 species
AGUGAACGCUGGCGGUAGGCCUAACACAUGCAAGUCGAACGGCAGCACAGGAGAGCUUGCUCUCUGGGUGGCGAGUGGCGGACGGGUGAGGAAUACAUCGGAAUCUACUUUUUCGUGGGGGGUAACGUAGGGAAACUUACGCUAAUACCGCAUACGACCUACGGGUGAAAGCAGGGGACCUUCGGGCCUUGCGCGAUUGAAUGAGCCGAUGUCGGAUUAGCGAGUUGGCGGGGUAAAGGCCCACCAAGGCGACGAUCCGUAGCUGGUCUGAGAGGAUGAUCAGCCACACUGGAACUGAGACACGGUCCGGACUCCUACGGGAGGCAGCAGUGGGGAAUAUUGGACAAUGGGCGCAAGCCUGAUCCAGCCAUACCGCGUGGGUGAAGAAGGCCUUCGGGUUGUAAAGCCCUUUUGUUGGGAAAGAAAUCCAGCUGGCUAAUACCCGGUUGGGAUGACGGUACCCAAAGAAUAAGCACCGGCUAACUUCGUGCCAGCAGCCGCCGUAA